rnacentral:lncRNA from 1 species
GUUUCUGCUCGGACUGACUGGUUCAAAUCUCGGCUGUACUGCCAGGAUUUAAGACACUUUGAAAAUGGGCAAAGCCUCAUUUUUCCUAGGUCAAAAGGAGUUCAAGAUUGGGGAAAUCUGAGGAUUCAGAAGGAUGAUAAAUAUGUCACCAGCACUAACACCUGUCCUAGUUCCAGCUCUGGUGAACUCCAGCAGACCUGCUCAAGUGGACAGCAUUAGGGACCUUGUCAGUUUUGCAGUGCUUUUUGCCUGAAGCCACCUCAGGUCCCUCAUGCUGCAGCAACACGAUUCAUGACUCUGUUGCAGAAUGUGAAGGAGCAAGUCUCUCAAUUGGCUAAUUGAAUCAAGCUCUGCAAUUUCCUUCUUCCCUGGAGCCUGAUCCUGCAGGACAAGGAUCUAUUUUCAAGUCAAUUACAAUUCCUAAGGGAUAUAAUUACCUACAAAAUCAGCAAAGGAACCCUAUUUCUCUUAUGGUAAUGUAAUAGUAAUUUUUAAAAUAACUACAAUACAUAUGAUAGAAAUGGCAUUUGCUUUCUUUCAACUUUUCAUUGCUUUUAGUUUCAUGCCAUACCAUUCCCAAAUCUCCAACUUACCAGCAAGCAGUGAUAAAUGGCAGCCUGUA